rnacentral:rRNA from 1 species
CAGCAGCGCGGUAAUACCGGCGGCCCGAGUGGCGGUCACUAUUAUUGGGCUUAAAGCGUCCGUAGCCGGGUUGGGAAGUCCUCCGGGAAAUCUGGCCGCUUAACGGUCAGAAUGCCGGAGGAUACUCCCAGCCUAGGGAGCGGGAGAGGCCGAGGGUAUUCCCGGAGCAGGGGUGAAAUCCUAUAAUCCCGGGAGGACCACCUGUGGCGAAGGCGCUCGGCUGGAACGCGUCCGACGGUGAGGGACGAAGGCCAGGGGAGCAAACCGGAUUAGAUACCCGGGUAGUCCUGGCUGUAAACGAUGCGGACUUUGUGUCGGACAAGCUAUGAGCUUGUCCGGUGCCGGAGGGAAACCGUUAAGUCCGCCGCCUGGGGAGUACGGCCGCAAGGCUGAAACUUAAAGGAAUUGGCGGG